UACGUAGGGAGCAAGCGUUGUCCGGAAUCAUUGGGCGUAAAGCGCGUGUAGGCGGCUUGGCAAGUCGGAUGUGAAAGCCCACGGCUCAACCGUGGAAGCGCAUCCGAAACGGCCUCGCUCGAGUCUCGGAGAGGAAGGUGGAAUGCUUGGUGUAGAGGUGAAAUUCGUAGAUAUCAAGCAGAACACCUGCGGCGAAGGCG
rnacentral:rRNA from 1 species